UGCCAUUCUACGGAGUACUCUGUACUACGUGCGGAUUGCUAUCUUAGCAGUGACUCCUGAGUGAACAAUUUUCGGCUGGUUUGACUCCUAUUUGAGCUAGGAACCAAACGAUCACCAAAGCAAUGAGGUUGGUGGGGAGUUUGGCUGGUCUGUCCAGUGUCCAUGGGACCUGGGCUUGUUGUGGCGAGAUAAGACGUCCUCAACCGUUAGCUUCCCGGCGGAAGCGAAUAUUGCCCAUCAUGGAUGAACAGUUCAAAGCAUAGGACAAUUACCUUCAUUCACGCGGCUAACCACUGGAGAUACAAUGGGAGUUCACGAUGCAGAUGAUCGAUCCUUAUCAAGAUAACGCCCAGUAGCAGCAGUUCUACCCUGACAUCUUGUACCCUGCCACCCAUUCCCACAUGGCCUGCCGAUGACGAUAUCUACCUUACAUAUUCAAUCACCUGGCUCAUGGGAAAUCUGUGUGUCGAUCUUUUUGAUUUAUUCUUCUUCUAGCUCUCGUCGUCAUCGAUGUAAUAAUAUCAUCAAAUUGCGAGAUAUCGCGGUUAAAUUGCGCAGAGAGCGGUCGAAAGUGAUGGCUCUUUGUCCUCCGGGUAAAAGAGUUUUGUUUAUUAUGAUUUCCCUCUGGCACGGGCAUUGUUUACAGGUGGCUCUAACUACCACGGACCAGGGACUGUCUUUUUUUUUUUUUGUUUAUCAUCAUCAACUCGGCAC
rnacentral:sRNA from 1 species